rnacentral:rRNA from 1 species
AGAUUGAACGCUGGCGGCAGGCCUAACACAUGCAAGUCGAGCGGCAGCACGGGUACUUGUAUCUGGUGGCGAGCGGCGGACGGGUGAGUAAUGCCUAGGAAUCUGCCUGGUAGUGGGGGAUAACGCUCGGAAACGGACGCUAAUACCGCAUACGUCCUACGGGAGAAAGCGGGGGACCUUCGGGCCUCGCGCCAUUAGAUGAGCCUAGGUCGGAUUAGCUAGUUGGUGAGGUAAUGGCUCACCAAGGCGACGAUCCGUAACUGGUCUGAGAGGAUGAUCAGUCACACUGGAACUGAGACACGGUCCAGACUCCUACGGGA